GACGAACGCUGGCGGCGUGCUUAACACAUGCAAGUCGAACGGAAAGGCGCUGAUCUUGUGGGGUGCUCGAGUGGCGAACGGGUGAGUAACACACGUGUAACCUGCCCUUGACUUUGGGGUAAAUUCAGGAAAAUGGGGCUAAUAUCGGAGAGGAGCUCCUGAUGCAUGGUGGUGGUUGGAAAGUUUCGGCGGUUGGGGAUGGUCUCGCGGCUUAUCAGCUUGUUGGUGGGGUAGUGGCUUACCAAGGGUUUGACGGGUAGCCGGCCUGAGAGGGUGACCGGCGACAUUGGUACUGCGAGACGGCCCAGUAUCCUACGGGAGGCAGUAGGGGGGAAUAUUGCACAGUGGGCCGACGCCUGAGGCAGCAACGUCGCGUGCGUGAUGCCGGCUUUCGAGUUAUAAACCGCUUUCUCCUGUGACGUGGCGUUAUUGACGGUAAUUGGUAAAGAAGCACCGGCUAACUACGUG
rnacentral:rRNA from 1 species